UGAGGAAUAUUGGUCAAUGGACGAGAGUCUGAACCAGCCAAGUAGCGUGCAGGACGACGGCCCUAUGGGUUGUAAACUGCUUUUAUACGGGGAUAAAGUCAAUCACGUGUGAUUGUUUGCAGGUACCGUAUGAAUAAGGACCGGCUAAUUCCGUG
rnacentral:rRNA from 1 species